GGACGGGUGCUCGAGUGGCUUAAGAGGCACGCCUGGAAAGCGUGUAUACGUCACAAGCGUAUCGAGGGUUCGAAUCCCUCCCUGUCCG
rnacentral:tRNA from 1 species